GAAGCACCGGCUAACUCCGUGCCAGCAGCCGCGGUAAUACGGAGGGUGCAAGCGUUAAUCGGAAUUACUGGGCGUAAAGCGCACGCAGGCGGUCUGUCAAGUCGGAUGUGAAAUCCCCGGGCUCAACCUGGGAACUGCAUUCGAAACUGGCAGGCUAGAGUCUUGUAGAGGGGGGUAGAAUUCCAGGUGUAGCGGUGAAAUGCGUAGAGAUCUGGA
rnacentral:rRNA from 1 species